GAGAGGCGCUGCCGCCAGCGCUGCCGCGGGGACCCGUUAGAGCGGAAGCACCGCCGCCGCCUUCGCUGUCCGGGGGCCCCUAGUUCCCCGCGGGUGGGAGGCGAGAGCCAUGUCGAAGCGGCUCCGGAGCAGCGAGGUGUGCGCUGACUGCAGCGGGCCGGAUCCUUCCUGGGCAUCAGUAAACCGGGGAACUUUUAUAUGUGACGAGUGCUGCAGUGUCCAUCGGAGUCUGGGGCGCCAUAUCUCUCAAGUAAGGCAUCUUAAACACACACCCUGGCCUCCAACAUUGCUUCAGAUGGUUGAAACCUUGUAUAAUAACGGUGCUAAUUCUAUAUGGGAGCAUUCUUUGCUGGACCCUGCCUCUAUUAUGAGCGGAAGACGUAAAGCUAAUCCACAGGAUAAAGUACAUCCCAAUAAAGCAGAAUUCAUCAGAGCCAAGUAUCAGAUGUUAGCAUUUGUCCACCGCUUGCCCUGCCGGGACGAUGAUAGCGUGACGGCCAAAGAUCUUAGUAAGCAACUCCAUUCAAGCGUGAGAACAGGGAAUCUUGAAACCUGUUUGAGGCUGUUAUCUUUAGGAGCACAAGCCAACUUUUUUCACCCUGAAAAAGGAAACACCCCACUCCACGUUGCCUCCAAAGCAGGGCAGAUUUUACAGGCUGAAUUAUUGGCAGUGUAUGGGGCAGACCCAGGCACACAAGAUUCUAGUGGGAAAACUCCUGUUGAUUAUGCAAGGCAAGGAGGGCACCACGAACUGGCAGAACGCCUUGUAGAAAUACAGUAUGAGCUGACUGACAGACUAGCCUUCUAUCUCUGUGGCAGGAAACCAGAUCACAAAAAUGGGCAGCACUUUAUAAUACCUCAAAUGGCAGACAGCAGCCUGGAUUUGUCUGAGUUGGCAAAAGCUGCUAAGAAGAAACUUCAGUCUCUAAGUAAUCAUUUGUUUGAAGAACUUGCGAUGGACGUGUACGACGAAGUUGACAGGCGAGAGACCGAUGCAGUCUGGCUUGCCACUCAAAACCACAGCACGCUGGUAACCGAGACGACCGUGGUUCCCUUCCUUCCGGUCAACCCUGAGUACUCAUCAACACGAAACCAGGGCAGACAGAAAUUAGCUCGGUUUAAUGCCCAUGAAUUUGCCACGCUGGUUAUUGACAUUCUCAGUGAUGCCAAGAGGAGACAGCAGGGCAGUCCUCUCUCUAGUUCAAAAGACAAUGUGGAGCUCAAACUGAAAACCAUCAAUAACCAGCACAGUGUUGAGAGCCAAGACAACGACCAGCCGGACUAUGACAGUGUGGCAUCAGACGAAGACACGGAUUUAGAAACCACGGCAAGCAAGGCAAACAGGCAGAAGAGCCUAGAUUCAGAUUUAUCAGAUGGACCAGUCACUGUACAAGAAUUUAUGGAGGUCAAAAACGCUCUAGUGGCUUCUGAGGCCAAGAUACAACAGCUAAUGAAGGUGAAUAACAACUUGAGUGACGAGCUGAGAAUUAUGCAGAAAAAGCUUCAAACACUCCAGAGUGAAAAUUCGAACCUCAGGAAACAGGCCACAACCACUAUAUAUCAGGUGCAAACUGGUUCAGAGUACACAGACACUUCCAACCACUCUUCCUUAAAGCGACGUCCAUCCGCCCGGGGCAGUAGGCCCAUGUCCAUGUACGAGACGGGAUCGGGGCAGAAACCAUACCUCCCCAUGGGAGAGGUGAACCACCCCGAGGAAAGCAGGACGCGACUCCAGCCCUUCCCCGCGCACAUCGGGAGGAGUGCGCUUGUGACCUCCUCUUCAUCUCUGCCUUCCUUCCCCUCCACACUCUCCUGGUCGAGGGACGAAAGCACCCGAAGGGUUAAGUACAUUCUGAAUUGGUUGGUCUCUGGAGGAGGCGGCAGUGCUCAUGGGCGCUUUGUGCUUCUGUCCUUCAGUCCUGCUAACUGCCCUUCUGUCCCGCAUGGGCUCCGCUUCCCUCCUGGUUUCUCACAGCACAGCGGGCACAUGCAACGCAGACCUGUAGAGAGAUGCCUCCCUUCCGUCUAACUCCACAUUGCUCAGUUACACACAUGAUAUUUAACAAGGUUCACAAAUCACCCUAUGGCAUUGAUUCUGAGCAUACUGUCUUUUUAAACAAUCGGAAAAUUAGCUGGCUGCUGGUUAACCGUUGUAAUAGGGAAAUCCGUCAGACUUGUUCAGAGCUCCCAUUAUGGAUCAAAACUAGUGUCUUUGGACUAGUUGAAGCACUAACAUGUCAUGGUUUCUUUUUUUACCCUCUGACAUAUUUUCCGUCAGCACCAUGCCUGACAAACCAGGCUUUUCCAGUCCCUGCAUCCCACAUGAGCAUUGUGACCUACAGUGGCACUGGAGGUGUGAGCAGCUGUUGGUCUGAAGCUGUUCACAUGCACUAAUUGGCCACAUCCAACCUGCUGAUGUAUCACUUACAUUCUCAACAACAAUACAUGGUUCAGGUACCUCCUUUUAGAGUAGCCAAGCAACAAGUGUUUAUUAAGCACCUCUUGUUUGCCCAGCCAGGUCCCUGGGUAGCACAAUAAAGGUUGGCAAUUCGAACCCACCCAGCAGCUCCACGAAAGAAAGUCAUCGUGAACUGCUUCCAUAAAGAUUAAAGGCCAGAAAACCCUAUGGAGCAGUUCUACUCUGUAACGCAUGGGGUCGCCAUGAGUCAGAAUCAACUCAAGGGCAACAGGUUUGGUUUUUUUUUUUUUUUUCCUAUGCCCAGCCUGUUGGCAAGUCAGUUAAUAGACUUACGUGACACAACCGAGCCCUGCUCCCAGAGGCACCAUCAGUAAACAAAUUAUUUGCACAAAGAGUGCAUGACCUUAACCUGGGACAGUCACGGAAAGGUUUCAGGCUUUGAAGACCUAAGUUCAGGUGCUGGCUCAACCUUUUAUGAAAGGGGAGUGUAAUCAAGGUGAGAGAAGGGAAGUUCACUGUGGGGAAGGGGCCACCUUUACAGACAACAUGGGAUCUGCACAGAGCCUUGGUCCACUCCCUAUGCAUCAGGGCCUUUGUGGUCCUUUUCCACUAUCAGAGCCUUUAAAGGAAACCUUGAUAUAUGAUACUUAGAACUUUUUGAGCAGUUCUGAAAUUGACCUGUAGUGUUUUCAUUAUAUUCCAAUAAAACGAAGGGUUAGAGAAGUAGUAAUGAAAUAUCCAGUUUGAAACUUUGUUAAUAAGAGUCAAAAAACUUUUGUCCACUCUGAAAUUUUUUUUUUAAUUUUUGGUAGUUUUGAAAAUCAUGGCAAGGACCACUCGCUGAGGCAAAGUGUUUUUUAAACUGGUAAUCCUGGUUGUUUCUGACAACUUUGUCCUGGAUUUAGAUUGUUACGGUAUGUCUGUAAUCAGAGAAAACUGAAAAUCUGUUAAAGAAACCGAACCAGCACCAGCUAUAAAGUAACUUUUCUAUUAACAGCUUUAAAAGAGCAGCACUUUUUAACCAAUAGAUCUUGGCUCUGCAUGUUUACAGUAAUUUUCAUAAAAUAGAAAGCUGGCUAACUUGCUUUUGUGGACAACGGCAAAGGACUUAACGUGUAAGUAACAGAUUUCCUGGGUGGCUGCUGGGUGGCUGCCCCUAUACUUCGUUUUUUAUUCUUGAAAAAUGGUUCCUUCAUGCUUUUAUGAGGUAUACGAGUUGUUACUUUUCUAAAAUGCUUAAAUGAAACUUGGUAUUUUUAAUCAUUGUGGGGUAACGCAGUUGAUUUCUGAUUACCAAACUACAUCCAGGAAAGUAAAAAGGCCCAUUAUAAAAAUGUGGAACUUUCUGUGUUUAAUUCUAUUACUUAGAUUUUUCCCCACUGGAGCAACUCUGGAAGGACUUCCCAGUAUAAUUAUUUAAAUGCAGAUUUUUUACAUUCCAUUUGUGUGUGCGUGUGUGUGUGUGUGUGUGUGUGUAUUAAAGACAAAGAAAUGUAAAGCUUAGUCCAACGCCCCCAUGAAAGGUGAGAAGGGGGUCACUGUUUCUAGAGGUCCCCUCCAGAAGACCCUGGUCUCACUUUUCCCUGCGCUGGGUUUUUUUGGGGACGCAGUGCUGCCCUUGGCCUUCCGUCUGGCCUACUUGUACCCUCACUCACUGAUUCCUUCCUAAAGGCAGAUCAAACCACGGCAGCAAGUGGAGCAUAACUGCUUGCUGGCAGGAGAUGUAGAGGAAGAGAUCUUAAACACUGUAGUGGGUUUUACUGGACCCAAUUCUACAGAAGGAAACCCUGGUGGCGUAGUGGUUAAGCACUACAGCUGCUAACGAAAGGGUCGGCAGUUUGAAUGCGCCAGGCACUCCUUGGAAACUCUAUGGGGCGGUUCUACUCUGUCCUGUAGGGUCACUAUGAGUCAGAAUUGACUCGACAGCACUGGGUUUGGUUUUGGGUUAAUUCUACAGAAUCCCCAUGUGGCUCGAAGCCAUUAUUCUUAAUAAUUUGCCAGUUGAAUUUGAGUGAGUGUAAGUUCAUACUGAAUUUUAGGAGCCCAAAGCAAGUGUCUUCUGUUAGAGUGCCCCGGACUGCAUAGGGGACUUUGGGGAACUGUGAAAAGACCUUGGCAGACAGAGGAAGAGAGCAUUGGCCUUGGGAGGGGAGAAGAGGCCAUGGGGAUAGUAAGCAAAUAUGGCCUGCACAAGGGUCUCCACCCUGUGGGUGGGUGACUGCUAUGCCUGUCCCCAUGGGGCCUGUCGGGGCCAGGCAGCAUUAUCAGUAAGGAGCAAUCAGACUGUACAUAGACUUCUUAGACUGACUGACCCUAAAUCAGCCAUUCUUUUGGAUGAUGCUGCAGAGUCUCCAUAUAUUUAAACGAGGCUCUUAGUUUACAGCUAUUUCCUUAAAAAUUGCAGCAGCUUUAAAAUCCCUUAGUCAGAGAGACUGGAAGAAGGGAGUGGGCAGACUCAUUAGGGGGAGAGUAAAUGGGAGUAUGUAGUAAGGUGUAUAUAAGCUUACAUGUGACAGACUGACUUGAUUUGUAAACUUUCACUUAAAGCACAAUAAAAAUUAUUUAAAAAAAAAUCCCUUAGUCAUGUACAUGUUUUGAUUAACUUGAAUUAAAUUCAAGGCGUAGAACUGGAAGUUGGUCAUAUUUAUGUUUUGCAAGAUAAUCAGUCUAGGCUUUGGAUCAGCUGCCACUGAUCUCUGUUCUAGGUGAAGACAUUCUCAAACCCUAUGGAUAAAAUCAGUACUACUGAGGGAAAGUAAUUUUUACUAAACACUGCAGAACUAACCUAGUUUUAGUUUCCUUCAAAGGAACAUGGUCCCCUUCAGAUUUUUUUAUCUUGGAAGGCCCUCCUACUUGGCAGCACUGCCAUUUGCUCCAGGGUAUUGUUAGGAUUCCUCCUUUAAAAUUGCCUUUUGAAUCUCUGUCCGCCCCCCGCCCCUUUUUUUUUUUCGUGUGCUUUAAGUGACAGUUUACAAAUCAAGUCAGCCUCUCAUAGACAAACUUAUAUACACCUUGCUGUAUACUCCUAGUUGCUCUCCCCCUGAAGAGACAGCACACUCCUUCUCUCUACUCUCUAUUUUCAUGUCCAUUCGGCCAGCGUCUGACCCCCUCUGCCCUCUCAUCUGCCGUCCAGACAGGUGCUGCCUCCAUAGUCUCAUGUGUCUACUUGAUCCAAGAAGCUCACUCCUCACCAGUAUCAUUUUCUAUCCCAUGGUCCAGUCCAGUCCGUGUCUGAAGAGUUGGCUUUGGGAAUGGUUCCAGUCUUGGGUUAACAGAAGGUCUGGGGACCAUGACCUCCGGGGUCCCUCUAGUCUCAGUCAGACCAUUAAGUCUGGUCUUUUUACGAGAAUUUGAGGUCUGCAUCCUGCUGCUCUCCUGCUCCCUCAGGGGUUCUCUGUUGUGUUCCCUGUCAGGGCAGUCAUGGGUUGUAGCUGGGCACCAUCCAGCUCUUCUGGUCUCAGGCUGAUGUAGUCUCUGGUUUACGUGGCCCUUUCUGUCUCUUGGGCUCAUAAUUACCUUCUUUGGUGUUCUUCAUUCUCCUUUGCUCCAGGUGGGUUGAGACCAAUUGAUGCAUCUUAGAUGACUGCUUGCUAGCGUUUAAGACCCCAGAUGCCACUCUCCAAAGUGGGGUGCAGAAUGUUUUCUUAAUAGAUGCCACUCUCCAAAGUUCUCCGUCCCAUUUUUCAAUCUCCACGGUUGCACCGAAUCUUUUUUUUUUUUAAGAGUGGAUCUUCUUUUUUUUGAAACAGAUAAAAGUGAUUCAAAGCCAAGUGUCCUACUGGUUUAAAAACAACUCAUGACUAUGAAUUAAUAAGGCUGUUUUUUUUUUUCCUGUGGCUGAUAAAAGCCAUCUCUGAGGGCGGUUCUUGGAGAGCCAGGAGUGUCUGAAGCAGCAGUGAUCUUCGGAGCCCCAGGCAUGGAAUAUCACAACUAGCUGGAGGCAGGGGACCUGGGUUCCUGGUCCCAUUUUUUUUCUAACUCUGUGGCCUUGGGUGGGCCACCCAGCCUUUUUCUGUCCUCUAGUGUCUCAGCUGGUGUUAGACUAAGUAAUCUGCAGAUGGCUUCCAGCGCAGAAGGCCUAUAGGUGCUUAAGUUCUGGCAUGUUUGUUUUUUAAAUAGAACCCUGAGUGGCACAAAUGGUUAAGUGCUGGAGUACUAACUGAAAGGUUGGUGGUUCAAGCCCACCCAGAGGCACCUGGGAAGUAAGGCCUGGCCAUCCUGUUUCUGAAAGGGUCACAGCCUUAAAAAAAUCCUGUGGAGCAGUUCUACUCUGCACACGUGGGGUUGCCGUGUGUCAGAAUCAACGGCAACUAAUACCACCAACAUCAUAGUUACGCUCCAUACUCCAUUGAGAGCUAAAUGUGGGUGUGUUGCUUCAUAUGUCUGUUUUCAUUUGUAACGCGGAUCUUUUUAUGGAGUAGCCCCUGGGCUAAGAAGAACAUGGUGUGGAAAAGGAAAGAAGUCAUUUCUGGAUCCACUGUUCACCUAUUACUAAAUUUUUAGUAAAAGGUGGGCUUUGGUCCCAAAUGAGAUCCGGAGCGUGAAGGCUGCAUAGAGUUAACAGGCAUCCAGGCUGGAGAAGCAGAACAGUACCCCUGAAAGUGACUACGACAACACCCCCAAUGACACGGAGCCCGAUGACACGGG